GCCUCGUCAGCGCGUCGCAAUACCGUGGAAAACUGGUUUGGGGAAAAAGUAUGGAAUUGCGGGCCCAUCAGUUGGAGGAGGCACCAUGCCCAUGGAAGAGGAGCUUGGGCGUUUGCUCUAACUUUUGGAAGGUUUGUAGGGGUAGAGAGGGGAAAAUACAACAUCUUAUUUUGUUCUUUUCCUUGUUUACUUUGGGGUUUUAUUGGGGCUCUGAAUUUGAUGAGAUGCUUCGCCGAUGAUUCUCUUUGGAUUGUUUGUCAAGGUUUAUGUGGCCAUUAAAGGCUUUAUGAGAGCAUGUAAUCAAUAUCUAAUACAGCGGAUCAAAGAACUCCAACAGGAGUAUGGUCCUGAGGGACCAAGAAGUUAUGGUUCUGAGUGAUUACGAGAUUAUAGUCCAGAUGGAUCGAGAUAGGCAAAUGCUAUUUGCCAAUACUCAGACUUGGCUUGACGAGCUAAGCUAGUCAAGUUGAAAACCCUUAAUUACCUUGACAUAAAAUAAAAUCGAAGAGGGUUUAUAGGUUAUCCCUUAAAGAGGUCAGAGUUAUCGAGGAGAGUGAGCCAAUGAACUAUGUGACCAUUGUGUGUGAUGGUUGGCCUCUAGAGACGAUGGCCAAAGCCUAAUCACUGAACAACAAGCACAUGUACGAGAGAUUACCCAUACGCACCAUAGAGUUGCGGUUGCAUCUGAUCUUGGUGACCAUGUGUUUGUCUCUAGGGGAAAACCUGUAAUUCAUAGAUUAGGACUAUGUCCCCUUGCUUAUUGGCAGAGCAAUCCCCCAUCGGUUAAGCUAUCCCCUCUCGGUUAAGCUAUUGCCGUAGGAUAACUAUCACCCGUCGGUUAGCUAUCGCCCAUCGAUUUGCUAUCCACCAUCGGUUAGGGUGCCACCAUCAGUCAACCAACGGUUAAAGUGUUUCACUAUUGAUCAAGGUGGUUACUGACGGUCCAUUAGUCAAUACUUUCAUUGCACAAUGGCAAUUCAUUGUUUGUCAAGGUGAUGACUAAUGGUCUAUCGGUCAAGACAUUCUUUGCACAGUGGGCACUCAUUGACAGUAUUGACUAACGACAUGUCCCAAAACAAUUCCUAAAGGCCAAUCAAUCAAAAGCCAAAGUCAGGGCAGAGGCCAGGAGCAAUGACUAUGAUCAAAGAUCAGGAUUAAUAGCGAGCCACUAAACCUUGUCCCUGUGGUGAGUAUAUGCUCAGAAGUAGGUUAUGGCCAGGGAACCUUGCUUUGAUACCACUUGUUGGGCUCACCCAAUUAGAGCCCUAUCGAACGAAUGCAGAUGCGCUCAGCGGAAUGCGGAUAUAUGAGAUACAAAAAUAUGUUAAAGUCGAUGUGUGUGUGUAUGAGUGGGAAAAACAUGUAAAUAAAAAAAAUAACUUACUGGCACCUAUAGUUUACAUAGUUCAUAUUUUCAGAAAACAUCCACCAAAGAAAGAGUCAAAUCAACUAUUAACUCUUCCAAGAAACAAACUUUUUUAGGAUCACUGAUUUUUUCUAGAGACUUCUCUCUAUAAGUUUUCUUCUCUGAGGUUCUUUUAUCUGUCAGAGACUUCUUUUCUUGAGGCUUCUCUCUCUCUAAAAGAAAAUAUUAUCUCUUUCUCUCAUUUUUCUUCUCUUCUCUCUCUACAAAGAAAAGACUUAAGAAGAUGAUCACUAACUCUAUUUUAUCUUCUUCAUCUCUCUAAGAACAAGGGUAACUCUCUCUGUUCUUCUUCUCUCUCUCAAAGAAUG